GAUAGAAUGAGAAUGACACAACUACUACCUACCUCGCUGGUGAGACUUAAAUGACCUAGCAUAUGUACAGUACUUAGAAUAGUUACCUGGUCCAUAGUAAGUAUGAAACAUUAUUAUUUUGCAGAGAAGGAAACAGAGGCUGAGGUCCUAAGGUAACCUGACCCAAGCCUCAAGGUUAGUUUAGACGGCAAUAAGGCACAAAGCUUCCCUCUAGCUCAAAUUAAAUACACCACAUUCAAUUCUAUCUUAUCCUUUGCCUACAUGGAUCCCUCUUGAAGAAGCUUGCUCAGUCUUCAAGCUUGGCAGUCACCAAGAGUCCGUUCUCAAUAGCACCUAGAGUACUGUGCCUCCCACCAUGGGAGAGGCAGGCAGGAUGGAUGGAUGAGUGGGUGGGCCAAGGACUGACCAAAAAAGGGGCGGGGGAGGCUGUCUGUAGGUGUCAGGGCAAAGUCCACGGCUCCGCGACAUCAGCGCCACCGCGGUCAGUUCUACAGUCUUGGAUAAGUUAUCGACCCCCUCCGUGCUUUCUGCCUAGAAAAGGUUUGUCUAUAAAAAUAUCAGGGGAGGGCGGUUGCAAAUGCAAGGCUCCCACUGCCCAGCCAGCCAACUCCUUUCGCUCCGCGCCUGCCCCAGACGCCACUGCAUCUCCGGAUUCCCGCUCCACCUGUGUGCGAGCGCCUCCCACUUCCAGGUGUAAAUAGAGACCGGUGGAGGGAGCCAGCCUACUGCGAGAGAAAUGACUUCAGAUUUAAUCAAGUUAAGAUGACAUCAUACUGGAUUAAUCCAAUGACUGCUGUCCUUAUAGGAAGAGGGAAAUUUGGACACAGAUACCCAGGAGGAAUGCCGUGUGAUGAGCAAGGCAGAGAUUGGAGUUAUUCUGUCUCAAGCCAAGGAAUGCCUAGGAUGGCUGGCCACCAGCUGAUGUCAGGAGAAAGUUUUUGGUAACCAAACUGACUGAAUUUGAAGGAAUUGGGAAUUUUCUGAAGAAAGGGGCUUAAUCCAGAUGUCUUGUCUGGCUUUCGGAGAGGACGUGAAGCAAACCGACCUGAGUCAGAACACCGCUGUCUCCAGAGAGCUCAGACGUGAACAGGCAUGACGAUGGAGUCCACCGGUGGAUGCUGCCCGGACAGCUAGCAACCAAUGAUGGGCCAAUGUAAGGAUGCAAAGUAGUCCCGACAUCUCUCAAGGACCGUCCCAGCUCCAGAGCUUCCAAGGGAAUGGCUGAAGCUUCUGCUGCAGCUGCAUCAUAGCCCAACUACUGCCUCCCCCACUCCUGCCUUCCCCAGGUCCUUAUAGGUGCAUCUCCCAAGACACUUCCCCAAUAAACUUGCUGCAUGCAACUCUGUCUCAGGAUCUGUCUCCAGGGAACCAAACCUAAGAAAAUCUUCCAUAUAAGGAUUUCAGUCUUCAGUCAACACAGUGAAAAAAUGAAACCAGAGGUAAGUCCCUGCUCUUCAUGUUAACCCCAGAGACAAGACAACUAAAAAUGACAAGCUCUGAGGUAGGAAGAUGGGGGAAAGUUUGAAUAAAGAAGAUAUUGCAGGAGUUCCUCUUGUGGCUCAGGGUGUUAAGAACCAGCACUGCCUCUGUAAGGAUGUAGGUUCGAUCCUUGGCCUGGCUUAGUGGGUUAAGGAUCUGGCGUUGCCCCAAGCCGGUUUAGC